AUUUGGCCUGGCCAUAUCUGUGUAGGUCAGAGCAGGCUUGUGCAGUGAGGAGAGGGGGUUACCCAGGGGUCUUACUCCUUAGAGUUGGGUUUUUCAUAAUAGUGUUUCUCAACCUCAACAUUCUUGACCCUUUUUUUUUUGGCUUGGGGGAGGCACUACUAGAGUGUGAACUCAGGGUCUCAUGCUUGCUAGGCAGGUACUCUACCACACUUGAUCCACUCUGCCAGACUGCUGUUGACCUUUUGCAUGGAUAAUUCCUUAUCUUGGCAGUUGUCCUGUGCGUUGCAGGAUGAUUUACAGCAUCCACACACUAGUGCAUCUCUUACUCUGGGUUUUGACACUAAAAAUGUCUCCAGACACUUGCCAAAUGUCCCAGGAGAAGGUGAUUGAACCAUUGAUUUGAAUUGCUACCUUUCACAUUUUCUAUGUUGGACUGAUCUUAUCUCAUUGCUAAGUCUGUUGACGACCGUGUACACAAAACGUGGAACCAUCGCUAGGAGCACUUUCCAGUAUCUUCUUUCUGCCCAUCUUUUUUUUGGUGCAGGGUGAGGGGCAGUACUGGAGUUUGAACUCAGGGCUUGCUAGGCAGGCAUUCUACCACUUGAGCCACUGCACCAGCUCUGCCCAUCUUCUUGGAGCUCUACUAGCUUUUUUUCCCUUUGUGUUGUCAUUUGCAACACAUAUUCCCCAAAUCUUCCACUUGUUUCUAGACUCAGAGGCCUGGGAGAUGAACAGGAUGAAUAUGGUGUAGGGAUAAGGACCAACAUGUGGUGAGUUGAGACCAUGAACUGUGACACAGACACAUAUUUCGUCUGGAGAAAGGGAGGAACCUGUCACCACUGUUGUCUCCUGCCUCUACUGCUUUCCCCUUAAAUCCUCUAUCCCAUGACCUCCAUGGAGGGCCUUUCAGAUUCCAGACUGAGCAGGCAGGCCUGUGGCACUAACAGACAGGCAGCUGACACCUGGUUUCCACUUUCUUCCCUUCUCUUGUUUCAGGAGCUAUUGGCUAGAGGAAGUGGAGGGGCUGUGGGAUGCAGAGAGCCGAGGGCUAACUUCCGGACAGUGGGACAAAGAAAGCUGCUGACGAACAGACGGUGG
rnacentral:lncRNA from 1 species